AAACAGACAGGUUUGGUCCUAACCUUUCUAUUAACUCUUAGCAAGAUUAUGCAUGCAAGCAUCCCCGUCCCAGUGAAAACACCCUCUAAAUCACCACAGUCAAAAGGAGUAAGUAUCAAUCACGCACAACGCAGCUCAAAACACUUUGCUCAGCCACAUUCCCACGGGAGACAGCAGUGACAAAACUUUAGCAAUAAACAAAAGUUUAACUAAGCUAUGCUACAUUCAGGGUUGGUUAAUUUUGUGCCAGCCACCGUGGCCAUACCCAAGCUAAUAGAGACUGGCGUAAAGAGUGUUUUAGAUCUACUCUAAUAAAGCUAAACUCCAUCUAAAUUGUAAAAAACCCUAGCUGAUGUAAAAUAAACUACGAAAGUGGCUUUAAAAUUUCUGAACACACAAUAGCUAAGGCUCAAAGUCGGAUUAGAUACCCCACUAUGCUUAGCCUUAAACCUCAAUAGUUAAAACAACAAAACUACUCGCCAGAAUACUACAAGCAACAGCUUAAAACUCGAAGGACUUAGCAGUGCUUCACAUCCCUCUAGAGGAGCCUGUUCUAUAAUUGAUAAACCCCAAUUCACCUCACCAUCUCUUGCUCAACCUAUAUACGACCAUCCUCAGCAAACCCUAAUAAAGGCCACAAAGUAAGCAUAAAUGUCCCCGCAAAAACGUUAGGUCAAGGUGUAGCUUAUGAGAUGGUAAGAAAUGGGCUACAUUUUCUACCUCAGAAAACCCCAUGAUGACUCUUAUGAAACAUAAGAGCUCAAGGAGGAUUUAGCAGUAAAUAAAGAAUAGAGUGCUUAAUUGAAUGAGGCCAUAAAGCAUGCACACACCGCCCGUCACCCUCCUCAAGUAUAUUUAAGGAUCAACUUAACUAAACACCGCCUCAUAUUUAUAUAGAGGAGAUAAGUCGUAACAUGGUAAGUGUGCUGGAAAGUGCAUUUGGAUAAACCAAGGC
rnacentral:ncRNA from 1 species